UUCUGAUAGUGCAGACUACCAAUUUUGUAUGUACCUUAAAAUGUGAUAUUGAACAUGAAAUGAUGAUGCAAAAACACGUUAAAUGAAGCUAAGAAAAUUAAUUAGUGGAGGGGGAGAAAAAUAGACAAGUCUUUGUUUGACAUCCCAAAACAAAAGUGAAAUCUUCCCGAUGGUUAUUUGCAAUUAAAGAACAAAUUCUUUUCUACAGAAACAACUAAAGAAACUACAUGCUAGUAUUAAAUGUUUUCUGAUAAUGCAGGCUACCUUAAAAUGUGAUAUUAGAUGUUUUUCUUCUGCUACGUCUCUAUUACUCUUGCUAUUUAAACUUCAUAUGCAUAUUUGAUGGUAUUUCAAGUCUGUACUAUUAGUUCCAGUUUUGCGUCUCAAAAAUUAAAAUAAUUUACUUCUGUCCAGCAACUUCAUCAACCAACAAUAAAUGCACUCCUUUUUUUAGGGUUCGGAUGGUUUUGUGUAAAUAUG
rnacentral:lncRNA from 1 species